AACGAACGCUAUCGGUAUGCUUAACACAUGCAAGUCGGACGGACUAAUUAGGGCUUGCUCCAAUUAGUUAGUGGCGGGCGGGGGAGUAACAUGUGGGAAUCUGCCCAUCAUUACGGUAUAACUUUUAGAAAUAAAAGCUAAUACCGUAUAUUCUCUACUGUGGAAAGAUUUAUCGCUGUUGGAUGAGCCCCCGUCAGAUUAGGUAGUGGGUGAGGUAACGGCACACCAAGCCGACGAACUGUAGCUGGUCUGAGAGGAUGAUCAGCCACAAUGGGACUGAGACACGGACCAGAAUCCUACGGGAGGCAGCAGUGGGGAAUAUUGGACAAUGGGCGAAAGCCUGAUCCAGCAAUACCGAGUGAGUGAUAAAGGCCCUAGGGUUGUAAAGCUCUUUUAGCAAGGAAGAUAAUGACGUUACUUGCAGAAAAAGCCCCGGCUAACUCCGUG
rnacentral:rRNA from 1 species